UACGAGAGUUUUUAACUCAAGUGGCGGACGGGUGAGUAACACUUAAGAAUUUACCUUUAGGAGGGGGACAACAACUGGAAACGGUUGCUAAUACCCCAUAUGCUUUCGAGUGAAAUGGAUUUCCGCCAAAAGAGAAGCUUGCGGCUGAUUAGCUUGUUGGUGAGGUAAUGGCUCACCAAGGCGACGAUCAGUAUCUGGUUUGAGAGGACGAUCAGACACACUGGAACUGAGACACGGUCCAGACUCCUACGGGAGGCAGCAGUGGGGAAUUUUCCGCAAUGGGCGAAAGCCUGACGGAGCAAUACCGCGUGAGGGAUGACGGCCUAUGGGUUGUAAACCUCUUUUUUCAGGGAGGAAUAAAUGACGUGUACCUGAAGAAUAAGCAUCGGCUAACUCCGUGCCAGCAGCCGCGGUAAGACGGAGGAUGCAAGUGUUAUCCGGAAUCACUGGGCGUAAAGCGUCUGUAGGUGGUUUAAUAAGUCAACUGUUAAAUCUUGAGGCUCAACCUCAAAAUCGCAGUCGAAACUAUUAGACUAGAGUAUAGUAGGGGUAAAGGGAAUUUCCAGUGGAGCGGUGAAAUGCGUAGAGAUUGGAAGGAACACCGAUGGCGAAGGCACUUUACUGGGCUAUUACUAACACUCAGAGACGAAAGCUAGGGUAGCAAAUGGGAUUAGAUACCC
rnacentral:rRNA from 1 species